rnacentral:rRNA from 1 species
UACAGAGGUCUCAAGCGUUGUUCGGAUUCAUUGGGCGUAAAGGGUGCGUAGGUGGCGCUGUAAGUCAGGUGUGAAAUUUCGGAGCUCAACUCCGAAACUGCAUUUGAUACUGCGGUGCUUGAGGACUGGAGAGGAGACUGGAAUUCACGGUGUAGCGUGAAAUGCGUAGAUAUCGUGAGGAAGACCAGUGGCGAAGGCGGGUCUCUGG